rnacentral:rRNA from 1 species
CCCUUAGAUGUCCUGGGCCGCACGCGCGCUACACUGAGUGUCUGAGAUACGAGUCUGCCUGGUCCGGCAAGGUCUAGGUAAUCGCUAAAAGACACAUCAUGCUUGGGAUAGAUUAUUGCAAAUAUUAAUCUUGAACGAGGAAUUCCUAGUAAGCGCAAGUCAACAGCUUGCGUUGAUUACGUCCCUGCCCUUUGUACACACCGCCCGUCGCUACUACUGAGUGGAUGUUUAAGCGAGGUUCUCGAACUGCUAGCGACUUAGCUUCGGUGAGGUCGCAGUGUGGGAAGUGAACCUAGCUUUGGUGUCUAGAGGAAGUAAAAGUCGUAACA